UACGGACUUAAAAAAUCCGUCGACUUUAGAAAUCGUGAGGGUUCAAGUCCCUCUAUCCCCAA
rnacentral:tRNA from 29 species